rnacentral:lncRNA from 1 species
UGCUGGUAUUUUUUUUAUUUUGAGAAAAAGUUGUUGGAGAAAAACUCAAAAUUUGAAUUUGAAUUUAUUUUAUUUGAACUUUAAAUUUAUUUGGUAUUUAUUUAUUUAUUUAUUUAUUUAAUUUAUUUAUUUUAUUAUGUUUCUUAAUGAGAAAGAAACUAACGGGAUAUUUUUCCCGUUCCGUUCCGUUUCUUGCGCCAAGGAAUCGCAUUCUGUUGCGCGGAUUCCGCUUCUUUCUCGUAACGAAAAAGAACGUGAAAUCCUCUUUCCUUUUAUGCAUUUUUUUUUCUUCUUGCUUAUGACAGAGAAGGUAACAAAGAUAUUAGAUGGUUGGUUAAUCUCUAUCGAUUAAUUCUUUUAUCUUUCAUUUUUGAACAUUCUCCUUAUGCACUGGGUGUUGAAAGAAUCUCCGUCAAUCUCCUUCACGAUCGUGCUCGCAGGAGGAGGAAUUCCGGUCGUACCUUAGGGUGUUAUUUUCGGUUAAUCCCGCACGUAAGGACGGGAAUACGUAUUAGGGCAGUGCCUCGCACGCUUCCGGAUAAGAUCAAAUUUUUACUGGAAUAUUUGCGUCUAUCUGUACGUUUGAUUUAUUUAUUUUUAUCACAAAAUUAGUUAGAUUUUAAUUACAAUUAGAUUUUCUGUGCGGACUUUGUUCCAACAAAAGUUAGCACGCUACUCGCUUCAUUCAUUGGAGAAAUGAACUAGGCUAUAAGAGUAGGGUAACCUAGGCCCCGGGAAAAAAAAGAAAAAAAGAAGUCAAGAUGAGUGAAGUAAAUCCCACGCCGUCAGUAGCAGCUUGAGAGUACGUACGGCUAUCCCUGGGUUCGGUUGGUUUCUCCAAAAUAUCAAGUCGUUUCUGACCUUCCAAGUGAUCCACCAACAGCCUACUAACUCACUUAGACUGUUCCCCCCUUAUGUAGGCUCUUCCUGGACAUCCACCUAUUCUAGACUAGAUUCACCUCGUUCCCCAGAUCUUGGAUCUGCAUGCUAUUUACACCCAUUACGAUGAUAAACUUGCUAACAACG